CUGACGUCCACACAGUUUAAAUUAAAGUUCCCGGAUUUUUGUGGGCGCCUGCCCCGCCCCUCGUCCCCCUGCUGUGUCCAUAUAUCGAGGCGAUAGGGUUAAGGGAAGGCGGACGCCUGAUGGGUUAAUGAGCAAACUGAAGUGUUUUCCAUGAUCUUUUUUGAGUCGCAAUUGAAGUACCACCUCCCGAGGGUGAUUGCUUCCCCAUGCGGGGUAGAACCUUUGCUGUCCUGUUCACCACUCUACCUCCAGCACAGAAUUU
rnacentral:lncRNA from 1 species